rnacentral:rRNA from 1 species
AGUGAACGCUGGCGGCAGGCCUAACACAUGCAAGUCGAGCGGCAGCGGGUCCCCGCGAGGGAGUGCCGGCGAGCGGCGGACGGGUGAGGAACACAUCGGAAUCUGCCUGGUUGUGGGGGAUAACGUAGGGAAACUUACGCUAAUACCGCAUGCGACCCUGAGUCGACGGACUGGGGGUGAAAGUGAGGGACCUUCGGUCUCACGCGACCAGAUGAGCCGAUGUCGGAUUAGCUAGUUGGCGGGGUAACGGCCCGCCAAGGCGACGAUCCGUAGCUGGUCUGAGAGGAUGAUCAGCCACACUGGGACUGAGACACGG